rnacentral:rRNA from 1 species
UACGUAGGGGGCGAGCGUUGUCCGGAAUUACUGGGCGUAAAGGGCGCGUAGGCGGCCUGCUAAGUCGAACGUGAAAUCCCUGGGCUCAACCCAGGAACUGCGUCCGAUACUGGUUGGCUUGAAUCCGGGAGAGGGAUGUGGAAUUCCAGGUGUAGCGGUGAAAUGCGUAGAUAUCUGGAGGAACACCGGUGGCGAAGGCGACAUCCUGGACCGGUAUUGACGCUGAGGCGCGAAAGCCAGGGGAGCAAACGGG